rnacentral:tRNA from 1 species
GAGGAUGGGGCUCAGUGGUCGAGCCCAUGCUUAGCAUUCACAAGGUCCUGGGUUCAAUCCCCAGUACCUUCA